CUGCUGCUCCCAGCUUAAGGGCCUCUUAAAUUGGAAAGGCACUGGCCUAUAGGGACAUGUACCUGUCAAACAAAUACCACACGCCUCUGAUUCUCUCUCUCUCUUCUCUUUCUCUCCGGCUUCGUUUUAAAACUCUCAGAUGGUAUUCGAGUCAGACGCGGGGUGCUGUGGAGAUUGUCGGGUUUGAGAACAGAGAUGGGGAUUCGCCUCUUAGAGGUAUCACAGCGACGCCGCUGUCGGAGGAAUUAAGAGGCGAGCUCAGCGGCCCUCCGGUGAUCCGCUCAGAAGAUGUUUCUCACGGCCCGGAGGAAAGGCUGUCAGAGAGGAGGAGACGGAGACGGUGGUGCAGUUAGCGUGUGGAUAUGAACAUGUUAGAGGAAGAGUGGAAUAGAAGAGUAUCUGCUGGUUGCAACUAAAGCCUGGUGACACACGGCACCUGGUGACGUCUAUCAGACAGCAGCGUCACGGUUGAAGCGGUCUCCCCCUCCCUCCGUC